rnacentral:rRNA from 1 species
AUUGAACGCUGGCGGCAUGCCUUACACAUGCAAGUCGAACGGUAACAGGUCUUCGGAUGCUGACGAGUGGCGAACGGGUGAGUAAUACAUCGGAACGUGCCCGAUCGUGGGGGAUAACGGAGCGAAAGCUUUGCUAAUACCGCAUACGAUCUACGGAUGAAAGCAGGGGACCGCAAGGCCUUGCGCGGACGGAGCGGCCGAUGGCAGAUUAGGGUAGUUGGUGGGGAUAAAAGCUUACCAAGCCGACGAUCUGUAGCUGGUCUGAGAGGACGACCAGCCACACUGGGACUGAGACACGGCCCAGACUCCUACGGGAGGCAGCAGUGGGGAAUUUUGGACAAUGGGCGAAAGCCUGAUCCAGCAAUGCCGCGUGCAGGAUGAAGGCCUGGU